rnacentral:snRNA from 1 species
UUCACUUCAGCAAGACAUACUAAAAUUGGAACAAUACACAGAAAACAACAUGGCCCCUGUGCACAAGUGACAUGCAAAUUUGUGCGAUAUUCCAUUUUUUC